rnacentral:rRNA from 1 species
AGUGAACGCUGGCGGUAGGCCUAACACAUGCAAGUCGAACGGCAGCACAGUAAGAGCUUGCUCUUACGGGUGGCGAGUGGCGGACGGGUGAGGAAUACAUCGGAAUCUACUUUUUCGUGGGGGAUAACGUAGGGAAACUUACGCUAAUACCGCAUACGACCUACGGGUGAAAGCAGGGGAUCUUCGGACCUUGCGCGAUUGAAUGAGCCGAUGUCGGAUUAGCUAGUUGGCGGGGUAAAGGCCCACCAAGGCGACGAUCCGUAGCUGGUCUGAGAGGUUGAUCAGCCACACCGGAACUGAGACACGGUCCAGACUCCUACGGGAGGCAGCAGUGGGGAAUAUUGGACAAUGGGCGCAAGCCUGAUCCAGCCAUACCGCGUGGGUGAAGAAGGCCUUCGGGUUGUAAAGCCCUUUUGUUGGGAAAGAAAAGCAGCAGGUUAAUACCCCGCUGUUCUGACGGUACCCAAAGAAUAAGCACCGGCUAACUUCGUG